AGGUGCCAACAGUGAUGGAGACGUGUCUUAGCUGCCAGUCCUUAAUGCCACUUUGUGACUUGGCUGACCAUAUCCUGGAGUGUACAGGAAAAGAAGAAUCAAGGAAUGAUGAAGACUACAUGGAUGAUGACCUGGCUGUGGCUAUACAGCAGUCUUUAGAGCUCAGUUAAUUUA